rnacentral:rRNA from 1 species
UACGAGGGGGGCGAGCGUUGUUCGGAAUUAUUGGGCGUAAAGGGUGCGUAGGCGGUUUGGUAAGUCUUAUGUGAAAUCUACAGGCUCAACUUGUAGUCUGCAUGAGAAACUGCCGGGCUUGAGUAUGGGAGAGGUGAGUGGAAUUCCUGGUGUAGCGGUGAAAUGCGUAGAGAUCCGGAGGAACACCCGUGGCGAAGGCGGCCCCCUGGGCCGCGCCUGACGCUGAGACGCGAAAGCGCGGGGAGCGAACGGG